CCUACGGGCGGCAGCAGUGGGGAAUAUUGCACAAUGGGGGAAACCCUGAUGCAGCGACGCCGCGUGAGUGAGGAAGUAUUUCGGUAUGUAAAGCUCUAUCAGCAGGGAAGAAAAUGACGGUACCUGACUAAGAAGCCCCGGCUAACUACGUGCCAGCAGCCGCGGUAAUACGUAGGGGGCAAGCGUUAUCCGGAUGUACUGGGUGUAAAGGGAGCGUAGACGGCUAAUCAAGUCAGAAGUGAAAACCCAGGGCUCAACUUUGGGACUGCUUUUGAAACUGAGUAGCUAGAGUGCAGGAGAGGUAAGCGGAAUUCCUAGUGUAGCGGUGAAAUGCGUAGAUAUUAGGAGGAACACCAGUGGCGAAGGCGACUUUCUGGACUGUACCUGACGCUGAGGCGCGAAAGCGUGGGUAGCGAACGGGAUUAGAUACCCCAGUAGUC
rnacentral:rRNA from 1 species